UGGUAUGUUUUAUAUCAAGGCAGGUU
rnacentral:piRNA from 1 species